GAAAUGCGAUAAGUAAUGUGAAUUGCAGAAUUCAGUGAAUCAUCGAAUCUUUGAACGCACCUUGCACUCUCUGGUAUUCCGGAGAGUACGCCUGUUUGAGUGUCAUGAAACUCUCACUCCCUACCUUUUCUUAAUCGAGAGGGAAGGGACGUGGACUUGGACUCUGCUGGUCUUCGGAUCGGCUUGUCUGAAAUGUAUUAGCUGGAUCCUCUUUGUAAUUGGUUCUACUCGACGUGAUAAGUAUUUCGUCGAGGACAGUCUUAACGGACUGGCCGAGAGAAGAAGAGUCUUUUAGAUCCGCUUCUAAUCCGUGCGAGCUUCGUGCUCCACACUUUUUAUGAUCUGGCCUCAAAUCAGGUGGGACUACCCGCUGAACUUAA
rnacentral:misc_RNA from 1 species